rnacentral:Y_RNA from 1 species
GGCUGGUCCGAAAGUAGUGGGUUAUCCUCAUUUACAUGUUACUCUAGCUUGCAGUUAACUUUCCCACUACUAUCAUUGACUAGCUAUUU